GUAGGGAAUAUUGGACAAUGGGCGCAAGCCUGAUCCAGCAAUGCCGCGUGUGUGAGGAAGGCCUGCGGGUUGUAAAGCACUUUCAGUAGAGAAGAAAAGCCUCGGGUUAAUACCCCGGAGUCUUGACGUAACCUACAGAAGAAGCACCGGCUAACUCCGUGCCAGCAGCCGCGGUAAUACGGAGGGUGCGAGCGUUAAUCGGAAUUACUGGGCGUAAAGCGCGCGUAGGCGGCUAGGUCAGUCGAAUGUGAAAGCCCCGGGCUUAACCUGGGAAUUGCACUCGAUACUGCCUGACUAGAGUAUGGGAGAGGGAAGUGGAAUUUCCGGUGUAGCGGUGAAAUGCGUAGAUAUCGGAAGGAACACCAGUGGCGAAGGCGACUUCCUGGCCCAAUACUGACGCUGAGGUGCGAAAGCGUGGGUAGCGAACAGGAUUAGAUACCCUGGUAGUCCACGCCGUAAACGAUGAGAACUAGAUGUCGGGAGGAUUUACCUCUCGGUGUCGCAGCUAACGCGUUAAGUUCUCCGCCUGGGGAGUACGCCGGCAACGGUAAAACUCAAAGGAAUUGACGG
rnacentral:rRNA from 1 species